rnacentral:pre_miRNA from 1 species
AAUAGAUGACGCCGUUGACUUUUUCUCACAUGUUUGACCAUUCGUCUUAUUCAAAAAAUUUACGUAAUUAUAAUUUAUUUUAUUAUGAGUUGUUUUAUCACUCAUAGUACUUUAAGUGUGAUUUAUAUUUUAUAUAUUUGCAUAAAGUUUUUAAAUAAGACGAAUGGUCAAACAUGUGAGAAAAAGUCAACGGUGUCAUCUAUU